UACGGAGGGUGCGAGCGUUAAUCGGAAUCACUGGGCGUAAAGGGCGCGUAGGCGGCCGAUCAAGUCAGAUGUGAAAGCCCACGGCUCAACCGUGGAUGUGCAUCUGAAACUGGUUGGCUUGAGUAUCGGCGGGGGAGAUGGAAUUCCCGGUGUAGAGGUGAAAUUCGUAGAUAUCGGGAGGAAUACCGGUGGCGAAGGCGAUCUUCUGGACGAAUACUGACGCUGAGGCGCGAAAGCGUGGGGAGCAAACAGG
rnacentral:rRNA from 1 species